rnacentral:rRNA from 1 species
AGCUCCAAUGGCGUAUAUUAAUGUUGUUGCAGUUAAAAAGCUCGUAGUUGGAUUCCUGGCUUUGGGGUAGCCGGUCCGCCCGUAACAGGGUGCGCACUGUGCGGCCUCGGCCAUUUUUGGAGAGAGCGGUCCUGGCAUUCAGUUGUCGGGUCCGGGAUCUCCGACGUUUACUGUGAAAAAAUCAGAGUGUUCAACGCAGGCUUACGCCUUGAAUACAUUAGCAUGGAAUAAUGAGAUAGGACUUUGGCGGUCUAUUUUGUUGGUUUGCACGCCGAAGUAAUGAUUAACAGGGACGGUUGGGGUUCUUCGUAUUCAAUUGUCAGAGGUGAAAUUCUUGGAUUUAUGGAAGACGAACUGCUGCGAAAGCGUCGAACAAGGACGUUCUCA